CCAAAGUGCAGCAUCCUGUAGUUACACAGAGACAGCAGGCACUGUUACACAAUGCCACAGCCAAAGCUUCCGACUCCCUCGCCACGUCCGACUCCCCUGCCAAGAAAACAAAUCUUCCUUCAAAUGAGUUCUAAGACUGAUGAGCCAGAAAAAAGUGCUCCCCUGUCUCCCACGAAAUCUGGAGAGGACAUCUGCUCGAGUCCACCACCAGUGGCACCAAAGAAGUGGACUGUUAGAAAGAGUUCAACAGGAAAUGAAGUUUUUGUGGAAAAAA